rnacentral:rRNA from 1 species
UGGGGAAUAUUGCACAAUGGGGGGAAACCCUGAUGCAGCGACGCCGCGUGAAGGAAGAAGUAUCUCGGUAUGUAAACUUCUAUCAGCAGGGAAGAUAAUGACGGUACCUGACGAAUAAGCAUCGGCUAACUCCGUGCCAGCAGCCGCGGUAAUACGGAGGAUGCAAGCGUUAUCCGGAAUUAUUGGGUUUAAAGGGUGCGUAGGCUGUUUUGCAAGUCAGGGGUGAAAGCCCGGAGCUCAACUCCGGAACUGCCUUUGAUACUGCGAGGCUGGAAUACGGAUGCCGUGGGAGGAAUGAGUAGUGUAGCGGUGAAAUGCAUAGAUAUUACUCAGAACACCGAUUGCGAAGGCAUCUCACGAAUCCGUCAUUGACGCUGAGGCACGAAAGCGUGGGGAUCAAACAGGAUUAGAUACCCUGGUAGU